rnacentral:lncRNA from 1 species
AUCCGCUGGAGGAGUCUGGAGGAUCCUGUGGAAGUCCGGAUGGCAUUGUAGAAGGUUAAUGGCUGGAGAGAUAUGGCAGACAUUGGAGGCGGUCGGCCGCUGUGGAAAUCCAGCUGCUGAGCCCGUCUGUUGUAGAAGUUCGUCUAGAAGUUCGUCCGAAAUCCUUCCACUAUGGAAGUUCAGACGGAGUUCGAUUCUUGUAGAAUGCUGAAAGGAGGCAGCUUAUUGUAGAAGCUUGGUUGAAGAUCGAUUGUCGUGGGAGCUCGGAGUAGUGACCUGGCCGGGGGAGCCUGUCUCAUUAUAGAAGCUCGUCUGGGAUCCGUCCACUGUAGG